rnacentral:rRNA from 1 species
AACCGGUGGCUAAUCCCGCAUAAUGCCUACGGGCCAAAGUGUGGGACCUUUCGGGGCCACAUGCCAUCAGAUGAACCCCAAGCGAGAUUAGCUAGUUGGUGAGGUAACGGCUCACCAAGGCGACGAUCUCUAGCUGUUCUGAGAGGAUGAUCAGCCACACUGGGACUGAGACCCGGCCCAGACUCCUACGGGAGGCAGCAGUGGGGAAUAUUGGACAAUGGGCGCAAGCCUGAUCCAGCCAUGCCGCGUGUGUGAAGAAGGCCUUCGGGUUGUAAAGCACUUUCAGUGGUGAGGAAGGCGUUGUAGUUAAUAGCUGCAACGAUUGACGUUAGCCACAGAAGAAGCACCGGCUAACUCCGUGCCAGCAGCCGCGGUAAUACGGAGGGUGCGAGCGUUAAUCGGAAUUACUGGGCGUAAAGCGCACGUAGGCGGCUUGUUAAGCAAGAUGUGAAAGCCCAGGGCUCAACCUUGGAAUUGCAUUUUGAACUGGCAAGCUAGAGUUUUGAAGAGGGUGGUAGAAUUUCCAGUGUAGCGGUGAAAUGCGUAGAUAUUGGAAGGAAUACCAGUGGCGAAGGCGGCCACCUGUCAAAAACUGACGCUGAGGAGCGAAAGCGUGGGGAGCAAACAG